CGGCCUGAUCUUUUCUCCCGGCUAAACCACUGGUCCCAGUUAAACCUCUGCCCCCGGCCCGCCAUUUGCUCCCAGCCCCAUCUUUUGUACCGGCUAAACCUCUGCUUCUGGCCUGACCUGUGCUUCUGACCUGAUCUUUUUCUUCCGGAUUAAACUUUUCUGCGGGCCUGAGCUUUGCUCCCGGCCCCACCUUUUUUGCGGGUCUCCCUUUGCUCCCGGCCUGAUCUUUUUUCCCAGCUAAACCUCUGCUCCUGGUUAAACCUCUGCCGCCAGCCCGCCCUUUGCUCCCGGCCUCAUCUUUUCUCCCGGCUAAACCUCUGCUCCUGGCCCAACCUCUGCUCCAGGUUAAACCUCUGCCCCCGGCCCGCCCUUUGCUCCCGGCUUGAUCUUUUCUCCCGGCUAAACCUCUGCUCCCGGUUAAACGUCUGCCCCCGGCCCGCCAUUUGCUCCCAGCCCCAUCUUUUCUCCCGGGUAAACCUCUGCUCCCAGCCUGACCUGUGCUCCCUACCUUACCUUUUUCUUCCGGAUUAACCUUUUCAGCGGGCCUGACCUUUGCUCCCGGCCCGCCCUUUGCUCCCGGCCUGGUCUUUUCUCCCAGUUAAACCUCUGCCCCCGGACCGCCCUUUGUUUCAGACCGGAUCUUUUCUCCUGGCUAAACCUCAUCCCCGGCCCGCCCUCGGCUCCCGGCCUGAUGUUUUCUCCCGGCUAAACCUCUGCUCCCGGACAAACCUCUGCCCCCGGCCCGCCCUUUGCUUCCGACCGGAUCUUUUCUCCCGGACAAACCUCUGCUCCCGGCCUGACUUGUGCUCCCGACCUGACCUUUUUCUUCUGGAUUAACCUUUUCUGUGCGUCUGACCUUUUCUCCCGCCCUGACCUUUUCUCCCGGCCCCACCUUUUCUCCCGGCCUCACCUUUUCUCCCGGCCAAACUUCUGCUCCCGGCCUGAUCUUUUCUCCCGGCUAAACCUCUGCUCCCGGUUGAACCUCUGCCCCUGGCCCGCCCCUUGCUCCCGGCCUGAUCUCUUCUCCCGGCUAAAUCUCUGCUCCCGGUUAAACCUCUGCCCCCGGCCCGCCCUUUGCUCCCGGUCUGAUCUUUUCUCCCGGCUAAACCUCUGCUCCCGCCCCGCCCUUUGCUCCCGGCCUGAUCUUUUCUCCUGGCUAAACCUCUGCUCCCGGCCCGCCCUUUGCUCCCGGCCUGAUCUCUUCUCCCGGCUAAAUCUCUGCUCCCGGUUAAACCUCUGCCCCCGGCCCGCCCUUUGCUCCCGGUCUGAUCUUUUCUCCCGGCUAAACCUCUGCUCCCGCCCCGCCCUUUGCUCCCGGCCUGAUCUUUUCUCCUGGCUAAACCUCUGCUCCCGGCCCGCCCUUUGCUCCCGGCCUGAUCUUUUCUCCCGGCUAAACCUCUGCCCCCGGCCCGCCCUUUGCUCCCGGCCUGAUCAUUUCUCCCGGCUAAACCUCUGCUCCUGGUUAAACCUCUGCCCCCGGCACUCCCUUUGCUCCCGGCCUGAUCUUUUCUCCUGGCUAAACCUCUGCUCCCGGCCCGCCCUUUGCUCCCGGCCUGGUCUUUUCUCCCGGCUAAACCUCUGCCCGCGGCCUGACCUGUGCUCCAGACCUGACCUUUUUCUUCUGGAUUAACCUUUACUGCGGGCCUGACCUUUGCUCCCGGCCCCACCUUUUCUGCGGGUCUCCCUUUGCUCCCGGCCUGAUCUUUUCUCCCGGCUAAACCUCUACCCCCGGCCCGCCCUUUGCUCCCGGCCUGAUCUUUUCUCCCGGCUAAAUCUCUGCUCCCGGUUAAACCUCUGCCCCCGGCCCGCCCUUUGCUCCCGGCCUGAUCUCUUCUCCCGGCUAAACCUCUGUUCCCGGUUAAACCUCUGCCCCCGGCCCGCCCUUUGCUCCCGGCUUGAUCUUUUCUCCCGGCUAAACCUCUGCUCCCGGUUAAACGUCUGCCCCCGGCCCGCCAUUUGCUCCCAGCCCCAUCUUUUCUCCCGGCUAAACCUCUGCUCCCAGCCUGACCUGUGCUCCCGACCUGACCUUUUCUUCCGGCCUAAACUUUUCUGCGGGUCUGACUUUUCUUCCGCCCUAACCUUUUCUGCGGGUCUAACCUCUGCUCCUGGCCUGACCUGUGCUCCCGACCUUACCUUUUUCUUCCGGAUUAACCUUUUCAGCGGGCCUGACCUUUGCUCCCGGCCCGCCCUUUGCUCCCGGCCCGCCCUUUGCUCCCGGCCUGGUCUUUUCUCCCGGUUAAACCUCUGCCCCCGGCCCGCCCUUUGUUUCCGACCGGAUCUUUUCUGCUGGCUAAACCUCUGCCCCCGGACUGCCCUUUGCUCCCGGCCUGAUCCUUUCUUCCGGCCUGAUGUUUUC
rnacentral:lncRNA from 1 species